GGGGUGCGGCCCCACCUGCGGCCAAUGGGAGCGCGCGUGGCCCGGCUCUGCCCGGCAACGCGCGCCCCCUGCCCGCCCGGCACGUCUGUCCCCGGGUGCAGUGGGCUCCCGGGGCCGCUGUUCCCAGGUGGGCUCCCGCACUGAGCGUCUCGAGAACUUUUGGAAAUACAGGUUCCAGCCCAGACUCGCUGAAUUGAAACUCCAGCAGUCUGAGCUCACAGUCCGGGUAAUUCAGGUGAGCGCGAGUCUGCGAGCUCCCGGGCUAGGGGACAGCGGCAACGGGUCGCCCCUUCGACCCUGGAUUCCGAACGGCGCUCGGAAUGAGUGACACGCGUUCUACCAGCUUAGAGAUGCGGAGACAGACUGCAAAGAGCCUAGAACCCGGCGAAGGUCACAGCCGUCAGGUCCGGACUCAGCGGCCCUCCUCUCCGUGCAGAAGGCACCGUUUUCUACCUGUAACCCUAGACGGGCUUCCUUCCAGGUGAUCCUGAGGGUCUCUCCCCCAGCACCGCUGGCACUUGGAUCAGGGAGAAGACCCUCUGGAGUCUCAUCGUCACCCAGGGAACCCCGAACUUCUUAUCAACCUACCUAGGAAUUGAUUCACUACUGUCCCCUCGGGACAGCCAGCUGCACCCUCAGCCCUCACGGACCCCUGACGGCGCUCACCAGGCAGAGCAGCUGGAGUUGACAGAUGCCCUCAGGAUGCAUGGCACUUCACCUCUGCAGCUCCCACCAGGUGGGCGAGUGGGGCUCUUCGGCCCUGAGAGGGUCUAGCACAGAUUGAAGGCAGGCCCCUCCAUGCCCCCCCUUACCCCCCAGCACAGUACCUCAGGGUAACUCCGAGAGGAAGCCACCAGCCUGGCCGGAGAGUUCCCAGGACCUAUGAAGGCCAGGCCUGGGGCCCUUGUACCCAGGAGAGUGGGGCUGCUGGUGCCCCAGGCUGAGGACACGAAACCCACGGCCACCCCAACCAGGAACUUGGGCACCUCGGCCCCCUGGUGGGCACCUGAGGAAGGCAGCCCUGGUGGGCACUGCAUGCACAGUUGGUCCCUUACAGGAGAUGAACCUGAGCUCCAGGAACCCAGGUAUUUAUACUAGGCAGACAACCUGCUCCUUCUCCCAAGGGGUUGGUCCAUGCUGAGUGGGCACAGGCCUCCUUGGAGAGACAGUGCAGGGUGACAGGCAGGUGGCACCUUGCUCCUAAGAGGUGCAGAGACCUGAGGCCCAAGGGGAGCAGCAUCCCAGCGGGAAAUGGGAGCAGAGCUUCCCAGGCUGGGAAAGGGGGCUCCUCCAUUUCUC
ensembl:lncRNA